GAUGAACGCUAGCGGCAGGCUUAACACAUGCAAGUCGAGGGGCAGCGCGGGGUAGCAAUAUCCUGGCGGCGACCGGCGGACGGGUGCGUAACGCGUGAGCGACAUGCCCGUUGCCCGGGGACAACCGGUGGAAACGCCGACUAAUCCCCGAUGGGAUAUUGUGCCGCAUGGCACGAUAUUGAAAGUUACGGCGGCGACGGAUUGGCUCGCGUCCGAUUAGCUUGUUGGCGGGGUAACGGCCCACCAAGGCUGCGAUCGGUAGGGGUUCUGAGAGGAAGGCCCCCCACAAUGGGACUGAGACACGGCCCAUACUCCUACGGGAGGCAGCAGUGAGGAAGAGUGGUCAAUGGGCGGAAGCCUGAACCAGCCAUGCCGCGUGCGGGAAGGAGGCCCUAUGGGCUGUGAACCGCUUUCGCCUGGGGGCAAUAAGGGCGUCGCGCACGUCCGAUGAGAGUACCAGGCGAAUAAGCAUCGGCUAACUCCGUG
rnacentral:rRNA from 1 species